ACAUCAUGUCUUCUUCUUUCUUGUGACCAGCUCCUAUCCUGAAGCUACCUAGGGACUGCCAGCCAUCACUCAAUUAUUAGCAUACAAAGACAUCACUUUGGAGAUUCUAAACAUUCUAUGAGUUGUACGCCAGAAAACAGUGUUGAAGACCAAAUAUAGAUUUCACAAUAUAAUAUCCAUGGUUUUGAUUUCUGUGAUUUCAGUUAUUCAUGGUCAACCAUAGUCCAAAAAUAUUAAAUGGGGAAUUCUAGAAAUAUGCAAGUCAUAAGUUCUAAAUAAUGUGUCAUUCUAAGGAGUAUGAUGAAAUAUAAAGACAUCAUUUUCCAUCUCACCCAGGUCAUGAAUCAUUCCUUUGCAUAUGCUAUCUGCCCAUCAAAAUGGUCUGUUUCUGAGUCCCAACCAUCAACAUUAUCAUGGCUCAAUGAUCCACCAUCACAUGAAGCAGAUGAUCCACCUUCUGAUAUGUAGUCAGAUAGCCAGAAAUAAUUAGUAGCCUAACACCACAUGACAACUCCUACCUCAUUCACCUGACUUCAUCUCAUCACAUAGGCAUUAUAUCAUCUCACAGUCAUCACAAGAAAAAGAAGGACGGAAUGAAGUUGAUAAUAGUGAGACCUUGUUGGUACAAGACUACGUAACAUAACCUGCGCUUCUCAACAAAGAAUUGCUUUUCUGACUUCUGCACUCAAUGGCAAGACAAAUCUCUCCUCUGCCUUCUCCUUAUCAGACUACUCAACAUGAAGGCAGUAAGAAUGAAG
rnacentral:lncRNA from 1 species